CAAUAGCGUAUAUUAACGUUGUUGCAGUUAAAAAGCUCGUAGUUGGAUUUCUGGAGGGUGCGUCGGCCCGUAUUUACGAGUGCGUGACGUCUCUGUCCAUCCUUGCGGGAAGGCACGGCAUUGAUUUGUUGUGUCGGAUCGCAUCAUUUACUGUGAAAAAAUUAGAGUGUUCAAAGCAGGCUUUCGCUUGAAUACAUUAGCAUGGAAUAAUAAGAUAGGACUUUGGUGCUAUUUUGUUGGUUGAGCCUAAAGUAAUGAUUAAUAGGGAUAGUUGGGGGCACCUGUAUUGCGUUGUCAGAGGUGAAAUUCUUGGAUUUACGCAAGACAAACAGCUGCGAAAGCGUCUGCCAAGGAUGUUUUCAUUAA
rnacentral:rRNA from 1 species